UGGGGAAUAUUGGACAAUGGGGGAAACCCUGAUCCAGCCAUGCCGCGUGAGUGAUGAAGGCCUUAGGGUUGUAAAGCUCUUUUACCAGGGAAGAUGAUGACGGUACCUGGAGAAUAAGCACCGGCUAACUUCGUGCCAGCAGCCGCGGUAAUACGAAGGGUGCUAGCGUUGUUCGGAAUUACUGGGCGUAAAGCGUGCGUAGGCGGCGAUUCAAGUCAGGGGUGAAAUGCCAAGGCUCAACCUUGGAACUGCCUUUGAAACUGUAUCGCUGGAGUACUGGAGGGGAUAGCGGAAUUCCUAAUGUAGCGGUGAAAUGCGUAGAUAUUAGGAGGAACACCGGUGGCGAAGGCGGCUAUCUGGACAGUAACUGACGCUGAGGCACGAAAGCGUGGGGAUCAAACAGGAUUAGAUACCCCCGUAGUCC
rnacentral:rRNA from 1 species